CCAUAGCCCCGAUAGCAGCGGCAUCCUUUUUUGUUUUUCUUUCAAUUUCUAUUGAUGAACAAUGGUCGCAAACAAAAAAGAUAUAGCGGAUAGCGGGAAAUAGC
rnacentral:sRNA from 1 species